CCUGUCCGAGGCGUACUGGCUCCGCCAGGUUCAGCCCAUGGCUCACCUUCCCCUCCCCACUACUUUGAAUGCUUUUUCUGAGAUCGUUUCAGCCCCCAGGGAAGUCGUGUACACUUGCCAGUUAACCCAGACCAUCCCUGAGCACAUGGCCCAUGCUGCCAUGUCCCCACUGUCUUCUCUGCUUGUGUAUAUUCUGCAUUUCAAAUCAGGUUGUGGGUCACUCAUGAGGAGUGGGGGAUAUCCUAUCACCAGGAAGGAAGUAAAGGAUUUUUGUGGAGUUUGGGGUUUAGUGUGGGGGUUUUUUUGUUUGUUUUUUGCCCACCUUAAGCCUUGCCAGUAUGAUGACAGUCUAGAAAUUUAUGAAGAGCUGUACUUCUCUCCUUUUAGGGAAAAUUUUCAAAACUGUACAUAUCAUUUAAUUCUCAGCCUUAGUCAGAAACAUCAGAAUCUUUGAGGCAUGGGUGCAGUUUAUAAAAACACUAAAAAAAAAAAAACAAAACAAAACACAGCUAUCUCACUAGUAAGCUCAGGAACUGAAUAUUCAUAUUUAUCUUCUGAUAAGUUAGUAUCCCUCGCUCUCUCAACUGAGCAACUAAAUCAAUUCAGACAGAUGGAAUUUAAUGCCUAGUUUCAUAAUAUAAAUUCAGAGAAAAGCCCAAUAAAAUCUUCAUAGGAGAUUUAAGUGCCUGCCGUGGACUAGGCAAUGUGUUAAAAUGAAUACCUCGUGUAGUCAGUCAAAUAGCCUUGCGGUAUUUUCAUGCCAGUUUUACAGACAAGGAAACAAACUCAGGAAGGUUAAGACACUGGCCUGCAGAAAUUCCUAGAAGUGCUUAGCCCAGUACCUGUCUUGUGGACACCAAGAAAUGGGGCCAGUCAGAUGCCCUAUCAAAUGCAGCGCAUAGGCGUUUAUGAACCAUCCUCCAUGUGCACAGCUGUGAGCUGUCUGUCUAAAGAAGAGACUGUCUUGCCCUGGCUGGGCGGUUCAGCUGGUUAGAGCAUCGUCCUGUGCACCAAACAGGUUGCAGGUUUGAUCC